rnacentral:rRNA from 1 species
AUUGAACGCUGGCGGCAGGCCUAACACAUGCAAGUCGAGCGGAUGAGAGGAGCUUGCUUCUCGAUUCAGCGGCGGACGGGUGAGUAAUGCCUAGGAAUCUGCCUGGUAGUGGGGGACAACGUUUCGAAAGGAACGCUAAUACCGCAUACGUCCUACGGGCGAAAGCAGGGGACCUUCGGGCCUUGCGCUAUCAGAUGAGCCUAGGUCGGAUUAGCUAGUUGGUGAGGUAAUGGCUCACCAAGGCGACGAUCCGUAGCGGGUCUGAGAGGAUGAUAAGUCACACUGGAACGGAGACACGGUCCAGACUCCUACGGGAGGCAGCAGUGGGGAAUAUUGGACAAUGGGCGAAAGCCUGAUCCAGCCAUGCCGCGUGUGUGAAGAAGGUCUUCGGAUUGUAAAGCACUUUAAGUUGGGAGGAAGGGUUGUAGAUUAAUACUCUGCAAUUUUGACGUUACCGACAGAAUAAGCACCGGCUAACUCUGUGCCAGCCGCCGCCGUAAUAC